GACGAACGCUGGCGGCGUGCUUAAUACAUGCAAGUCGACUGAACUUAAGGUAGCAAUAUUUUAAGGGAGGUGGCGCACGGGUGAGUAACACGUAGGUAAUCUGCCUUUAGGACUGACAUAACCCAGAGAAAUCUGGGCUAAUAUCAGAUGAUGCAGCGGCUCGACAUCGAGACAGUUGUUAAACCUUCGGGGCCUAGAGAUGAGCCUGCGUCUGAUUAGGUAGUUGGCGGGGUAAUGGCCCACCAAGCCAUCGAUCAGUAGCUGGUCUGAGAGGAUGAUCAGCCACACUGGAACUGAGACACGGUCCAGACUCCUACGGGAGGCAGCAGUAAGGAAUAUUGCUCAAUGGCCGAAAGGCUGAAGCAGCAACGCCGCGUGGAGGAUGAAAUACUUUUGUAUGUAAACUCCUGUGAGAAGGGAAAAUAUGCAGAUUUUCUGCGUUGAUUGUACCUUCAGAGGA
rnacentral:rRNA from 1 species